UUUUUCUUGGUCAUUUAGAGGAAGUAAAAGUCGUAACAAGGUUUCCGUAGGUGAACCUGCGGAAGGAUCAUUAAAGAGUAAGGGUGCUCAGCGCCCGACCUCCAACCCUUUGUUGUUAAAACUACCUUGUUGCUUUGGCGGGACCGCUCGGUCUCGAGCCGCUGGGGAUUCGUCCCAGGCGAGCGCCCGCCAGAGUUAAACCAAACUCUUGUUAUUAAACCGGUCGUCUGAGUUAAAAUUUUGAAUAAAUCAAAACUUUCAACAACGGAUCUCUUGGUUCUCGCAUCGAUGAAGAACGCAGCGAAAUGCGAUAAGUAAUGUGAAUUGCAGAAUUCAGUGAAUCAUCGAAUCUUUGAACGCACAUUGCGCCCCUUGGUAUUCCGAGGGGCAUGCCUGUUCGAGCGUCAUUACACCACUCAAGCUAUGCUUGGUAUUGGGUGCCGUCCUUAGUUGGGCGCGCCUUAAAGACCUCGGCGAGGCCUCACCGGCUUUAGGCGUAGUAGAAUUUAUUCGAACGUCUGUCAAAGGAGAGGACUUCUGCCGACUGAAACCUUUAUUUUUCUAGGUUGACCUCGGAUCAGGUAGGGAUACCCGCUGAACUUAAGCAUAUCAU
rnacentral:rRNA from 1 species